CUACAGAUGAUGGCUCUGCAACCGGAACAGCUACGGUUACUGUACCAAUUGGAGAUGUCGGGCCUUUUACAACAACCACAAAAGAGUUAUGCGUAGCGGAUGGUUUAGGUCCAGGUGAAUCAGUUGGUGACGUUUCUGCUGCCGGUGUCGACACUUACACGACUACUGAUACCAACUUUGCUGUUGGCCCCACGUCUGGAGCUGUGACAACGGCUGCUGGUAUUACCCUCGACAAGGCCACAAAAGACGAGUACACGGUCGCUAUUUCAGGCGCGGUCACCGGUGGCGAGAGCAACGUCCUAACACUG